UAACUCGGAGUCGAAGCCGUUGAAGGGACCGGUAAAAAAGUACACGUUAUCCAAAAAUACGAGUAAUUCAAAAAACCAAGGAUAAAAUUUCAAACGAAAUGCGAAUACAAAAUGUAAUCGAUUUAACGGUGGACUUGAUGAAUGGUAAUAUGAUUGGUGUGAAAGCCGAAUUGGCAGUUUGAAGUAUUCAUUUCAAUUACAGCAGGGAAACAUAUUAUCAAACAGCGAAGCGAAUGUGGAAUAAAAUUAUACUGAAGUACCCCGAUAGCUGCUAUACAAUUAAAACAUCAACAGAGUAAAUCACUGUCCGA